CCUAAACCUGGCCAUGUCAUGACACUAAUCGGACAGAAAAUCGUAGAAGCACAGUGUGAAUGAAGCAUCUUGGGUAGGGGUACCAGGGCUGCCCAGGGUACGAUGACUGUUUAGGUGGGUCUUAAUGUCUCCGAUUACAUUAAUGAGGUAGCUGGAAAGUCCAAUCGGCGGAGCAAUCAAACCAAGUUGUGAUGUCCCCACCCCACGAGUCCCUCUGAUAUUAGGUUAAGGCCAAAGCCAGGUUUCAGACAAGGGGAGCUAUCAUCUUCAAUUCCAUUUCCAGCACAACCCCAUUUUGUAUUUCAUGGGGCCUAUCUCAACAGUCUGAAGAAGUGGACAAGCGUGGUCAAAUCUCCACUACCCUUUGAGUUGUAAACCUCAGCAUUAACAAACCUUAAAUGCAAAUGGUCCACAUCCACAUAUUUACAUGAAUUGCAACUCAGAGAGCUAGCUGCAUGGUUGGACUUCCAUUGCUAACACCAAUUUAGAGACAAGAGACAAAAGAAAGAAGAAAGGAAGGCCUUUAUGCUUAUUUAUCAGCAUCAACCAACCCCACUGAUCUCUCAAAUCCAUAUUCAAUAUCCAUUUAACGCUGUAUUCAUUACAAUUUGGCCUAGGCCUGUCUCCAGGAACUAAAAAUUGGUGUAAAAUUGAAUGCGUUGGUGACCUGCUGGUAAGGUUGGGUUGGGGAAGGGAGCGGAAAACAAGGGAUAAAUCAUUUCAUUUCAUGUCCUUCGCCAGGUUUUCGAUGUGGAUAGUCAAAAAUGGACCCAAGAAUAAAGUUACUUCUCCACUCAAUACGUAGUGGGGCUUGAUGUGGCAACUUGAUCAGGAUUGAAGUGUACUUCAAAACAUUGAUGUCAUCGUGGGGACCGGAUUCUGGAUUAGUAAUUAAAGAGAUGAAGAUGGCGUCCAAUCCGCAAGGAACCUCACACCCAAUUCUGAUAUCACCAUGGGCUUACCUACAAGUACAACCACCCCAAAACUUG
rnacentral:lncRNA from 1 species